rnacentral:lncRNA from 1 species
AAAAAUAAUGGAUUUUCUCUUUUCUUCUUAAAAGGAAAUAUCUUUCUGCUCAUUUAGAGGUGCAAAGGAAAACAUUUAGAACUUCCCAGAUGAAUAAAUUGCAUUUCAUCUGAAUGAACAUCUAACUUUGGAGAUGGAGAGAACAUUACUGUUGUCUACUCAAUAGCCACAAUUCCUUAUUUCUUGUUUACAAUGACCAUAGAUUGUUUAUGUUUGUAUUGUUGCAACAAGUUCACAGACAAUGGAUUCCUCUCCCAAUCUGGGAGGAUGAGCCAUGGUUGGUCUAGGCCAUGAAUAUUGUGGUAGAUUGUAU